AAGGGCUUAGCUUAAUUAAAGCAAUUGAUUUGCGUUCAGUAGAUGUGAGAUAUGGUCUUGCAGUCCUUA
rnacentral:tRNA from 1 species